rfam:Rattus norvegicus chromosome 1, whole genome shotgun sequence.
GGGGAUUUAGCUCAGUGGUAGAGUGUGUGCCUAGCAAACGCAAGGCCCUGGGUUCAGUUCCCAGCUCCA